rnacentral:lncRNA from 1 species
AUUUGCUUCUCUAUUUAAUUCAUCUCCUGUUGUGUUUCUUUCUUGCUGUCAUCUGAUGUUUGUAUUCUAUCCACAUAUCUUCCAGGUUACUGUCUAAAGUCUAUGCAGAAUGAAAGAAAAUUCUGACUAACUGCUGAGUGGGCCCUUCAGCUCAAAUUAAAUCACCCUGUGGUAUCAGAAAGAACCAAUUCUAAAGAGCAUCUAGAAUGUGUGACUUCCUAUUUUCUCCUUUUUCCAGCUGAACUGAAAUGUAUUGAACCAGAACCCUUACUGAGGAGUCAGAACCCAAGGAUGGUGAGAAUGGGUGGGUCGAUGCACUGUGCCAGCUGAAGCUAGGAAUACUCAGAGCUCCCUAAAAGC